rnacentral:rRNA from 1 species
UACGGGGGGGGCAAGCGUUGUUCGGAAUUACUGGGCGUAAAGGGCUCGUAGGCGGCCAACUAAGUCGGAUGUGAAAUCCCCAAGCUUAACUUGGGAACUGCAUCCGAUACUGGAUGGCUUGAAUCCGGGAGAGGGAUGCAGAAUUCCAGGUGUAGCGGUGAAAUGCGUAGAUAUCUGGAGGAAUACCGGUGGCGAAGGCGGCAUCCUGGACCGGCAUUGACGCUGAGGAGUGAAAGCUAGGGGAGCAAACGGG